CUGGGCCACAGGCCUGAGAAUGGCUACCACAAGCUGAGUGAGCUUCCCAUUGAAAUGACUAAGUUCUCCCAGAUGCCACAGCAGAAACAAAUCCAGACCCAAGGACCCUGCUCCAGGAUUUGCAACAACAAUUCCCUAAGAAACAGGCUGAGAGAAGUCCUCCUGGCAUGGCACCACCACCCACCAGUUCUGGUCCAAACUACAGUCCAUUCUAGGGAUGGAGACAUCUUUCCAGGUCCUUCUGCAGUGCCUCAUCAUUCAUUUUGACCCAGGGACCAACAUUAAGAAGUUUCAGAAAAAUGGAUUGACACCUGCCUGGAAAAGACUUCAUGCCGUCAUCCUGACAACACCAGAUGCAAUCAAGGUGGAGGGAUAUCUGCCUGGAUUCACCACUCCUUUGCCAAACCUGCUCCAAACCAGGACCAGAAAUGGACUGUCUCAUCUGGACCAGAUCUAUUCAGGCUAAGACUCUCUCACAGUAGAGCACAUGAUUAGUUAUACACAGCUCUUCCCUUUUCUGCCUCUUGUAAUGAUAGUCUCUCAGUUACUCUUAACUCAGAAACUU